GAGUGUCCAAUUAAAUUUCCAUACCAGAUAAGCAAUAAGUAAUUUUGUAGUUUAAAUAUGCCCUUGUUUGCAAUAUUUGGGACAUACUUAUACUAAAAAUAAUUCUUUAUUUGACAUUGAAUUUAACUGGGCAUC
rnacentral:miRNA from 1 species